rnacentral:rRNA from 1 species
AGAGUUUGAUCCUGGCUCAGGACGAACGCUGGCGGCGUGCCUAAUACAUGCAAGUAGAACGCUGAAGAGAGGAGCUUGCUCUUCUUGGAUGAGUUGCGAACGGGUGAGUAACGCGUAGGUAACCUGCCUUGUAGCGGGGGAUAACUAUUGGAAACGAUAGCUAAUACCGCAUAACAAUGGAUGACCCAUGUCAUUUAUUUGAAAGGGGCAAAUGCUCCACUACAAGAUGGACCUGCGUUGUAUUAGCUAGUAGGUGAGGUAACGGCUCACCUAGGCGACGAUACAUAGCCGACCUGAGAGGGUGAUCGGCCACACUGGGACUGAGACACGGCCCAGACUCCUACGGGAGGCAGCAGUAGGGAAUCUUCGGCAAUGGGGGCAACCCUGACCGAGCAACGCCGCGUGAGUGAAGAAGGUUUUCGGAUCGUAAAGCUCUGUUGUAAGUCAAGAACGAGUGUGAGAGUGGAAAGUUCACACUGUGACGGUAGCUUACCAGAAAGGGACGGCUAACUACGUGCCAGCAGCCGCGGUAAUACGUAGGUCCCGAGCGUUGUCCGGAUUUAUUGGGCGUAAAGCGAGCGCAGGCGGUUUGAUAAGUCUGAAGUUAAAGGCUGUGGCUCAACCAUAGUUCGCUUUGGAAACUGUCAAACUUGAGUGCAGAAGGGGAGAGUGGAAUUCCAUGUGUAGCGGUGAAAUGCGUAGAUAUAUGGAGGAACACCGGUGGCGAAAGCGGCUCUCUGGUCUGUAACUGACGCUGAGGCUCGAAAGCGUGGGGAGCGAACAGGAUUAGAUACCCUGGUAGUCCACGCCGUAAACGAUGAGUGCUAGGUGUUGGAUCCUUUCCGGGAUUCAGUGCCGCAGCUAACGCAUUAAGCACUCCGCCUGGGGAGUACGACCGCAAGGUUGAAACUCAAAGGAAUUGACGGGGGCCCGCACAAGCGGUGGAGCAUGUGGUUUAAUUCGAAGCAACGUGAAGAACCUUACCAGGUCUUGACAUCCCGAUGCUAUUUCUAGAGAUAGAAAGUUACUUCGGUACAUCGGUGACAGGUGGUGCAUGGUUGUCGUCAGCUCGUGUCGUGAGAUGUUGGGUUAAGUCCCGCAACGAGCGCAACCCCUAUUGUUAGUUGCCAUCAUUCAGUUGGGCACUCUAGCGAGACUGCCGGUAAUAAACCGGAGGAAGGUGGGGAUGACGUCAAAUCAUCAUGCCCCUUAUGACCUGGGCUACACACGUGCUACAAUGGUUGGUACAACGAGUUGCGAGUCGGUGACGGCAAGCUAAUCUCUUAAAGCCAAUCUCAGUUCGGAUUGUAGGCUGCAACUCGCCUACAUGAAGUCGGAAUCGCUAGUAAUCGCGGAUCAGCACGCCGCGGUGAAUACGUUCCCGGGCCUUGUACACACCGCCCGUCACACCACGAGAGUUUGUAACACCCGAAGUCGGUGAGGUAACCUUUCGGAGCCAGCCGCCUAAGGUGGGAUAGAUGAUUGGGGCGAAGUCGUAACAAGGUA